AAGGCUUCAGCACGACCCAGUCAGAACUAUAAGUCUCAAAGCCCCGAUGAGUAGGGUGGCAUGCCGGUGCGCGUUGAAGGCCAAGACGUGAGUCGGGCUGGAGCCGCCGGUAGUGCAGAUCUUGGUGGUAGUAGCAAGUACUCUGGUGAACCAACCUGGAGCUGUGAGGUCUGGAUUAGGGUUCCAUGUCAACAGUGAUUGAACAUGGGUGAGUCGAACCUAAGCCAACUGUGAAAGCAGUGACAUCCCGACAAAGGGGCGCCACUUACACCCCCAGUAAAAGCUCUCGUAUUGCUCUCUCUCUCUCGCAAAGGCGCACAAACUCAUUCUCUCUCUCUUACGAUAUGAUACAGAGGCAUGGCAUGGCAUAUAAGAGCACACACACAAUGAUCACUUAACAAUAAAAGUGAGUGUGUGUGUGCGGAGCACAAAGGUUACGCUCAUAAGCGUUAAUUGGUGAUGGUAGCAAGAUCUGGCAUAAGACAUUACUCAUAAAGAGAGAGAGAGAGAGAGAGAGAGAGAGAAACGGAGUGGUGAGCGUGAGUGCGCGCACUCCCUGCGUCUGGUUCUAUGUCCGGCGAAAGGGAAUGGGGACUUUGUUCCUUGACCGGUCCUGGCACCCUCGAUUGGCUUUGCCAAUUAAUGGUCCAUGCAAAUGGAACCAGGCCACAGCCGUUGGCAGUCGCCCGAGGAAGAGUUUUCUUUUCUGCUUAACGCACGAGGUCAUCCCUGGAAACAGUUCGGCUGGCGAAAGGGUGCCCCGCUGCGGCAGAGCGCCACGACUGUCGUGCGCGUCUCGGUGUUCCUGCUGAUCCGUGAAGACGUGGUCGAGGGGAUUACUCUUGUAUCAAUGAAACGCCUGACAAGUUCAGGACGGACCGUACCCUAUAUCCGCAUCUGGUCUCCAAGGUUCCUAGCCUCUGCAGAGUCAGUCACAUGUAGGUAAGGGAAGUCGGCAAACUCGAUCCGUAACUUCGGGAAAAGGAUUGGCUCUGAGGGCCGAGCUGGGCCGGGCCUUGCCUGCAAAGCAGUACCUAUAGUGACCGGAGUUUCAGGAGUGCGAGGGGCUCUAGUAGCUGCUCGUGCGUGCAAGCGUGCGGGUACGAACGAGUCCACCUCUCCGCUCCAACCACGAACGGCUGUGACGGCAAGGGCUCUGGGCGGGAGCUAUCGGUCCGUUGGCCCCCAGCGUGUCUGGGUGGCGGCGGUGCUCCGUCUGUCCCAUACGGCUCCAGCAGCCAGCGGCUAACUCAGAACUGUCAUGGACCAAGGGAAUCCGACUGUCUAAUUAAAACAAAGCGUCGUGACGGCCCCUGUUGGGUGAUGACGCGACGUGAUUUC
rnacentral:rRNA from 1 species